rnacentral:lncRNA from 1 species
GGCAGGUAAGAGUUCACCCAGAUGGAGAAGAGAAGCCAUCCCAGGAAGAAGGAACUCUGUAUGCAAAGGCACGGAGUCAUGACAGUGUCACGUGUGAAAGGAAUGGACUUCAUAAACAGGUUUAGUCAUCUCUGCAAAACCAGGAAUCCAAAUUUUACAGCAGCCUGUCGCCCCAAGAAGCUCCCUCAGCUGUCUCUUAUCUCAUUUAUCUUUCCUCUUAGCCCAUUCCUUGUCUUUCACUAACUCUCUAUUUACAUACACUUUCCUACCCAAUUGUAGCAACUGUGUUAUAUUCAUACCCUCCCAAGUUUCUUGCUUUUGAAUUUUCCUUCUAAUAUCUUGAGCUAACUGGGUCACAAAGUCAUACUGAUUAGCUGAUGGUUAUCAGGAACAGCAGGAUCAAAUGGUGUAUAAAUUCUGUAAACUUUACAGAACCACUCGUAAAAUUUCUCAGGG